AUUGAACGCUGGCGGCAGGCUUAACACAUGCAAGUCGAACGAGCGGCGGACGGGUGAGUAAUGUCUGGGAAACUGCCUGAUGGAGGGGGAUAACUACUGGAAACGGUAGCUAAUACCGCAUACCAUCGGAUGUGCCCAGAUGGGAUUAGCUGGUAGGUGGGGUAAUGGCUCACCUGGGCGACGAUCCCUAGCUGGUAUGAGAGGAUGACCAGCCACACUGGAACUGAGACACGGUCCAGACUCCUACGGGAGGCAGCAGUGGUGAAUAUUGCACAAUGGGCGCAAGCCUGAUGCAGCCAUGCCGCGUGUGUGAAGAAGGCCUUCGGGUUGUACAGCACUUUCAGCGAGGAGGCGUUACUCGCAGAAGAAGCACCGGCUAACUCCGUGCCAGCAGCCGCGGUAAUUC
rnacentral:rRNA from 1 species